rnacentral:lncRNA from 1 species
GAGAGAGAGAGGGAGAGAGAGGGAGAGAGGGAGGAAGAGAAGAGAGAGAGAGGGGAGGGAGAGAGAUAGAGAGAGAGGGGAGGAAGAGAGGAGAAAGAGAGGUGAGGAGGGAGAGAGAGAGAGAGAGGUGAGGAGGGAGAGAGAGAGAGGUGAGGAGGGAGAGAGAGAGGUGAGGAGGGAGAGAGAGAGAGGUGAGGAGGGAGAGAGAGAGAAGUAUCGACUCCCCCCCCCCUCAGUGGAACCCGAAACACUGGAUGAACAAUUCGUAAAUCCUCCGUCCUCCAGCGACGGCGUUCCUGAAGCCGGGAGUCAGUCCGGAUGGCCAGAACGAUCAGCUCAUCCAGAGAGUAUCAGGGUUGCCCCGGGAAACCAGUUCAUCCUUCAGAACCUCGUUGAGUCCGUUCAGAAAGACGGAGUGAAGCUGAGCCUCUGUAUUCCAACCCGCUCUCAGCGGGCGAACGUCCAAAAACCCAACACCAUAAUCAGCUACGCUAACGGCUGCCCUACCGAAGCGCAGUGAGUCUUCGAACGGCAGUUCCUGCCAAAAAAAAACCUCCUCAUCUCUCAUCUGGGUGAAGCUUCGACAAUUAUAACAAAAUCUCUGAUUGCUGCUUCCAAUAUGGCCGCGUCUCAGGCCAGAGCC